GUAGGUGAACCUGCGGAAGGAUCAUUAUACGUUUAUCCAACGUACCAACCAACGCGAAUUCGUUCAACGUCUGUGUGCAGCUUUUUGAGGCGAUCAAAAUAUGGUGGGAGAUGGGCAACAAUGCCUUUUUCUGUUUGAUCGUCGGGCGUUUUCUUUCUUUUACGGAGAGGAACGACAAAAGCUGAUUUUUGCACGGCAACCAUUUUUAUUCAACAUUUACAAACGCAUUGUAAUCACUUGUACUAAACUUAAAACAUCGUCUUUGCAUGCAGCAAGAAAAAAAAGCAAAGGUGCCUUUAUUGGUUCCCUGUUUUUUUUGAUUGCCGCGAGCAUCGAUCGAACAAAGACAUUAAUUGCUGAACAACUCUUAGCAACGGAUAUCUUGGUUCUC
rnacentral:misc_RNA from 1 species